rnacentral:misc_RNA from 1 species
CCAAUAGCGUAUAUUAAAGUUGUUGCAGUUAAAAAGCUCGUAGUUGAAUUUCGGGAUCAAGUCGUCGGUCGUGCCUCGGUACGCACUGGUGACAUUGGUUUCUCCCUUCUGAAGAACCUUGAUGUCAUUAAUUUGGUGUCUUGGGGAAUCAGGACUGUUACUUUGAAAAAAUUAGAGUGUUUAAAGCAGGCUCACGCUUGAAUACAUUAGCAUGGAAUAAUGAAAUAGGACGUUUGAUUCUAUUUUGUUGGUUUCUAGGAUCGACGUAAUGAUUAAUAGGGAUAGUUGGGGGCAUUAGUAUUCAAUUGGCAGAGGUGAAAUUCUUGGAUUUAUUGAAGACUAACUACUGCGAAAGCAUUUGCCAAGGAUGUUUUCAUUAAUCAAGAACGAAAGUUAGGGGAUCGAAGACGAUCAGAUACCGUCGUAGUCUUAACCAUAAACUAUGCCGACUAGGGAUCGGAUGAUGUUAAUUUUUUAAUGACUCAUUCGGCGCCUUAC